rnacentral:rRNA from 1 species
GACGAACCACCCAAACGUUAUUCGGAAUCACUGGGCUUACAGAGUUCGUAGGCGGUCUGGAAAGUUGGGUGUGAAAUCCCUCGGCCUAACCGAGGAACUGCGCUUGAAACUACCAGACUCGAGGGAGAUAGAGGAAAGCGGAACUGAUGGUGGAGCGGUGAAAUGCGUUGAUAUCAUCAGGAACACCGGUGGCGAAGGCGGCUUUCUGGGUCUUACCUGACGCUGAGGAACGAAAGCCAGGGGAGCGAACGGG